rnacentral:rRNA from 1 species
GACGUAGGAGGCGAGCGUUGUCCGGAUUCAUUGGGCGUAAAGAGCACGCAGGCGGUUUGGCAAGUCGGAUGUGAAAACCCGAAGCUCAACUUCGGGCCUGCAUCCGAAACUGCCCGACUAGAGGUAGGUAGGGGAGAUCGGAAUUCCUGGUGUAGCGGUGAAAUGCUUAGAUAUGACGCAGAACACCAAUUGCGAAGGCAGCUUGCUACACUGUUAUUGACACUGAGGCACGAAAGCGUGGGGAUCAAACAGG